AUUGAACGCUGGCGGCAUGCUUUACACAUGCAAGUCGAGCGGAAACAGGCCGCAAGGUGCUGACGAGUGGCGAAGGGGGGAGUGAUACAUCGGAACGUGUCCCGUCGCGGGGGGUAACUACUCGAAAGAGGAGCUAAUACCGCAUACGAGCUAUGGUAUAAAACGGGGGAGCUCAAGGGCGCGCGCGAGUUGAGCUGCCCCUGUCAGAUUAGGUAGAUGGUGGGGUAAAGGCUCACCAAGUCAACGAUCUGUAGCUGUACUGAGAGGACGACCAGCCACACUGGGACUGAGACACGGUCCAGACUCCUACGGGAGGCAGCAGUGGGGAAUUUUGGACAAUGGGCGCAAGCCUGAUCCAGCAAUGCCGCGUGAAUGAAGAAGGCCUUCGGGUUGUAAACCGCUUUUGUUCGGAACGAAACGGCUCUGGUUAAUACCCGGCGGUAAUGACGGUACCGAAAGAAUAAGCACCGGCUAACUACGUG
rnacentral:rRNA from 1 species